AUGGCCAAACUAAUGGGCGGCUCUGCUGGCUUCCAUGUGCAGGGGGCACACAUGCAGGCGUCUCGCCCGCCCUCUCUCUCCUUCAGAACGUGCGCCCAGCUCGAGAUCUCCAGAUUUUGCACUAUCCCUCGUUUCAUGGGCGUGAAGGCUGUCAAUGCUUCCCAACAGCAUAUGAGGCACAGGUUCAGCUCCAUCAGAGCCUCUGCCCUCCCAUGCAUGCAGGAUGACACCACAAGAUACUUCGAUUUCGUGGUUAUCGGCAGUGGUGUCGCUGGCCUAAGGUAUGCCCUGGAAGUCUCGAAGCACGGCUCUGUUGCUAUCAUCACCAAAGCAGAGCCUCAUGAGAGCAACACCAACUAUGCGCAAGGCGGCGUCAGCGCCGUUCUGUGCCCCAAGGAUUCUGUAGAAAGCCAUAUGCAAGACACAAUUGUUGCAGGGGCUCAUCUCUGCGACGAGGAGACCGUCAGGAUAGUAUGCACAGAAGGUCCUGAGCGUGUCAAGGAGCUAAUAGCCAUGGGUGCUUCAUUCGACCAUGGUGAAGAUGGCAGGCUGCACCUUGCAAGGGAAGGUGGACAUUCUCACAACAGAAUCGUCCAUUCUGCUGAUAUGACUGGAAAAGAGAUUGAAAGAGCGCUGCUUCAAGCGGUUGAAAAUGAUGAGAACAUAUCUGUGUUCGGCCACCACUUCGCCAUUGAUCUGUUGACCUGUCAGAAUAAUGGUGAAAUCUUUUGUUACGGAGUGGAUUCGUUGGACACCAAAGCUCAAAAGGUAGUCCGUUUCAUCUCAAAAGUAACAUUGCUUGCGUCCGGAGGAGCUGGCCAUAUAUAUCCCACAACAACCAAUCCACCGGUGGCUACUGGGGAUGGAAUCGCAAUGUGCCAUCGCGCUCAGGCUGUGAUAUCCAAUAUGGAGUUUGUGCAGUUCCAUCCAACUGCACUAUCAGACGAAGGCCUUCCAAUAAAGCCAGCUAAAAUAAGAGAUAAUGCAUUUCUUGUGACAGAAGCAGUCAGAGGAGAUGGAGGAAUUCUUUACAACCAAUCCAUGGAGAGAUUUAUGCCUUUAUACGACGACCGUGCCGAGUUGGCACCGAGGGAUGUGGUUGCAAGAAGCAUAGAUGAUCAACUGAAGAAACGUGGAGGGAAGUAUGUUCUCUUGGACAUCAGCCACAAGCCAAGGGAGAAAAUUCUUGCUCAUUUUCCGAACAUUGCAGCUGAAUGCCUGCGGCACGGUCUGGACAUCACACAGCAGCCCAUACCUGUCGUCCCUGCAGCUCAUUACAUGUGCGGUGGUGUUCGGGCUGGGUUGCAAGGGGAGACGAGUGUGAAAGGCUUGUAUGUCGCUGGUGAGGUUGCUUGCACUGGAUUGCACGGUGCUAAUCGUCUUGCAAGCAACUCAUUGCUGGAAGCGUUGGUAUUCGCUCAGAGAGCCGUGCAGCCCUCUAUCGACCACAUGGUGGAUGCGGAUGCUGACCCUUGUCUCGCGGAGAAAUGGGCACGCCCUGUGCUCUCUGUCUCCAUUAAGGACAGUGCACUGUCUGACAUCAUUGAGAAGACAAAGAAGACCAGGAUGGAGCUGCAAUCCAUAAUGUGGGAGUACGUCGGUAUAGUGCGGUCGACGAACCGGCUGAAGAAUGCAGAAUGGAAGAUUGGUGAUCUAGAGUCAGAGUGGGAGGAAUUCUUAUUCAGGAGGGGCUGGAAGCCUGCCACAGUGGGGAUCGAGGCCUGCGAAAUGAGGAACCUCUUCUGCUGCGCAAAGCUGGUUGUGAAGAGCGCGCUUGCGAGGCGGGAGAGCCGUGGCCUGCACUUCACUGAGGACUUCCCUUACCUGGAGGAGAGCAAGAGGAAGCCUACAGUGAUCUUCCCUACUGCUAUCCAAGAGCUAACAUGGAGUUCAAAGCCAUUGCAGAGGCAGCUGCAGUGCAAAUAG
rnacentral:rRNA from 1 species